rnacentral:rRNA from 1 species
UACAGAGGUCUCAAGCGUUGUUCGGAUUCAUUGGGCGUAAAGGGCGCGUAGGCGGCUCGGUAAGUCGGGGGUGAAAUCUUGGAGCUUAACUCCGAAACUGCAUUCGAUACUGCCGUGCUUGAGGACUGGAGAGGAGACUGGAAUUUACGGUGUAGCGGUGAAAUGCGUAGAUAUCGUAAGGAAGACCAGUGGCGAAGGCGGGUCUCUGGACAGUUCCUGACGCUGAGGCACGAAGGCCAGGGGAGCAAACGGG